rnacentral:rRNA from 1 species
AGAGUUAAACAGUACGUGAAAUUGUUGAAAGGGAAACGAUUGAAGCCAGUCGUACCGACGGAAAAUCAACUUCUCGGGUGCUUAUCGUGGGUGAUGUUGAGCCUCACGGUCUUCAUCGCUUGUGAUGUGGUGCCUUUGAGGUGCACUUUUUCGUAUGGUAGGUCAACAUCGAUUUUGAUCGUCAUAAAAUGAUCGGAGGAAUGUAGCUUCGGUCUUGUAUCGGAGUGUUAUAGCCUUUGGUAGAUGUGAUGAUUGGGAUCGAGGAUUGCAAUGAAUACCUUUUGGGCUAUCCGUCUGACCUCUGAUUGUUGUUCGGGUGCUGAAAGCUUGCUUACAGCUAUUCGAGUUGGCGGUCAACAGGUUAGAACGUGAUUAUAUUCAUUAAGGAUGUUGACGUAAUGGCUUUAAACGACC